rnacentral:rRNA from 1 species
GCCCCCCCCCGGGCCGGCUACGAGGGGAGUUCUUCCGAGGGGCCAGAAGGGUAAACGGUGGAUCCCUGAGGGGAAACAUUGGAAAAGAGGUAACCGCAAAAACUUAACCCAUUUUUAGUGGAAGGCCAAUGCCCCAUAAAAGUGCCCCGGUUUUUUAGUUGGUGGGGAGAAAGGCUCCACAGGGGGAUAAACAUCGCCCCCUGGAGGGUGUUCGCCACAUGGGGAUGAACACCGCCCAAAUUCUUGGGGGAGCACAGUAGGAAUUUCGGCAAUGGAGAAAGUUUGACCGAGCAACGCCGCUUGAUGAAGAAGUUUUCGGAUCGUAAAAUUCUGUUGGUAGAGAGAACGUUGGUGAGAGUGAAAGCUCAUCAAGUGACGGUAACUACCCAGAAAGGGACGGCUAACUACGUGCCAGCAGCCGCGGUAAUACGUAGGUCCCGAGCGUUGUCCGGAUUUAUUGGGCGUAAAGCGAGCGCAGGUGGUUUAUUAAGUCUGGUGUAAAAGGCAGUGGCUCAACCAUUGUAUGCAUUGGAAACUGGUAGACUUGAGUGCAGGAGAGGAGAGUGGAAUUCCAUGUGUAGCGGUGAAAUGCGUAGAUAUAUGGAGGAACACCGGUGGCGAAAGCGGCUCUCUGGCCUGUAACUGACACUGAGGCUCGAAAGCGUGGGGAGCAAACAGGAUUAGAUACCCUGGUAGUCCACGCCGUAAACGAUGAGUGCUAGAUGUAGGGAGCUAUAAGUUCUCUGUAUCGCAGCUAACGCAAUAAGCACUCCGCCUGGGGAGUACGACCGCAAGGUUGAAACUCAAAGGAAUUGACGGGGGCCCGCACAAGCGGUGGAGCAUGUGGUUUAAUUCGAAGCAACGCGAAGAACCUUACCAGGUCUUGACAUACUCGUGCUAUUCCUAGAGAUAGGAAGUUCCUUCGGGACACGGGAUACAGGUGGUGCAUGGUUGUCGUCAGCUCGUGUCGUGAGAUGUUGGGUUAAGUCCCGCAACGAGCGCAACCCCUAUUGUUAGUUGCCAUCAUUAAGUUGGGCACUCUAACGAGACUGCCGGUGAUAAACCGGAGGAAGGUGGGGAUGACGUCAAAUCAUCAUGCCCCUUAUGACCUGGGCUACACACGUGCUACAAUGGAUGGUACAACGAGUCGCGAGACAGUGAUGUUUAGCUAAUCUCUUAAAACCAUUCUCAGUUCGGAUUGUAGGCUGCAACUCGCCUACAUGAAGUCGGAAUCGCUAGUAAUCGCGGAUCAGCACGCCGCGGUGAAUACGUUCCCGGGCCUUGUACACACCGCCCGUCACACCACGGGAGUUGGGAGUACCCGAAGUAGGUUGCCUAACCGCAAGGAGGGCGCUUCCUAAGGUAAGACCGAUGGACUGGGGUGAAGUCGUAAUCAAAAG